rnacentral:rRNA from 1 species
CCUACGGGAGGCAGCAGUGAGGCAUAUUGGUCAAUGGACGAGAGUCUGAACCAGCCAAGUAGCGUGAAGGAUGACUGCCCUAUGGGUUGUAAACUUCUUUUAUAUGGGAAUAAAACGUUCCACGUGUGGGAUUUUGUAUGUACCAUAUGAAUAAGGAUCGGCUAACUCCGUGCCAGCAGCCGCGGUAAUACGGAGGAUCCGCGCGUUAUCCGGAUUUAUUGGGUUUAAGGGGAGCGUAGGUGGAUUGGUAAGUCAGUUGUGAAAGUUUGCGGCUCAACCGUAAAAUUGCAGUUGACACUGGCAGUCUUGAGUACAGUAGAGGUGGGCGGAAUUCGUGGUGUAGCGGUGAAAUGCUUAGAGAUCACGAAGAACUCCGAUUGCGAAGGCAGUUCACUGGACUGCAACUGACACUGAGGCUCGAAAGUGUGGGUAUCAAACAGGAUUAGAUACCCUAGUAGUC